rnacentral:rRNA from 1 species
GAGACCCGUGCCCACUGUUACCAGCAUGUCCUCAGGGACGAUGGGUACUCUGUGGGGACCGCCGGUGUUAAACCGGAGGAAGGUGCGGGCCACGGUAGGUCAGUAUGCCCCGAAUCUCCCGGGCUACACGCGGGCUACAAUGGAUGGGACAAUGGGUCCCUACCCCGAAAGGGGAUGGUAAUCUCACAAACCCAUUCGUAGUUCGGAUCGAGGGCUGUAACUCGCCCUCGUGAAGCUGGAAUCCGUAGUAAUCGCGUUUCAAUAUAGCGCGGUGAAUAC